UACCCAAUCCUGACACAGGGAGGUAGUGACAUGAAAUAACAAUGCUGGGCGUCUCACGACGUCUGGUAAUUGGAAUGAGUACAAUUUAAAUCCCUUAACAAGGAUCCAUUGGAGGGCAAGUCUGGUGCCAGCAGCCGCGGUAAUUCCAGCUCCAAUAGCGUAUAUUAAAGUUGUUGCGGUUAAAAAGCUCGUAGUUGAAUUUCUGAUCGGACUUGACCGACCCUGCGUCGAAAGGCGUGGUGUGUUGGCGCAAGCCGGUCGUACUCCUUCUAGAGAGGCAGCGUCCUACCCUUCACUGGGCGGGGCGUAUGUGCUCUAGAUCUUUUACUUUGAAAAAAUUAGAGUGUUUAAAGCAGGCUUGUGCUGUGAAUACAUUAGCAUGGAAUAAUAAUUUAGGACUUUUUACCUAUUUUGUUGGUUUCUAGGUUUUAAGUAAUGAUUGAUAGGGACAGUUGGGGGUGCUAGUAUUCAGCGGCCAGAGGUGAAAUUCUUGGAUUCGCUGAAGACUAACUAAUGCGAAAGCAUUCACCAAGGAUGUCUUCUUUAAUCAAGAACGAAAGUUGAGGGAUCGAAGACGAUCAGAUACCGUCGUAGUCUCAACUAUAAACUAUACCAACUAGGGAUCAGUGGAAGUUGAUUUAUCGACUCCAUUGGCACCUUAUGAGAAAUCAAA
rnacentral:rRNA from 1 species